GCUUGGGCCUGUAUUAAUCAUAAUGUGGGGAUUAAAUCCUCUAUACCACGCUAUGGAGCCUUGAAGGUUGUUCUUUAAAGCCUUGAUGGACCUUUUCUCUGCACUCUCUAUCACGCCACACGGCUUACAGACGCCAUUACCCCCAGCAGACCCUGCAGACUUAGCCACGGAGCUGAGUGAAACCUAACCGGGGAGCACGUCUCCCAAGGGGGCGGUGGGGCGUGAAGUCAGAUUGAGGCCAGAUGUUGCAGAUGCAGAAACGAGCCAGCAGGACCAGGAUCCAUUUAUAGGCUCAGCCCGCCUUAUUGCACAACAAUGUAUUGAUAAUUACAUCACCAGAGCUGCUCUCUGACUGCGACAUUAGAGCGAGAACAACCCCAGUGAUUCCACUGUGUAAGCUUUCUAACGCAGGUUCCUGGAUUUCCUCCAUUGUGGUGGGUGUGACCUUGAGCGUGAGAGUGAGAAAACUGCACAUAGUGGAUAUUUGGACCCCUUUCCAUUGGACCCCCCUCCCUGGAGCACCAUUCCCUGUUUGCACAUUUGCAAUAGCUUCUUCACUGUAAAUAAAUGCACUGAACUGAGCUCUCCCGAGUGUGCACCCGACUCUACCAGUCCAUUAGUCUUGACAGUUCAAGGUGAUGAUACAAGAGUCCUUUUUCACAUGUGUGGCUACAGAAUUUCAUACAUGCAACUUAUCAGGAAUAAUAAAUAGAGUAGUAGAGUAGACUGGACAGUGCCGACAUUAAAACCUGCACCACGGAGUCUUUGGUCAAUAAAAAGACAAAAGCUUGCGUUAAACUUUUCCUAUAUGAUGACCUGAUCAACCUUCUGCACAGAGCUUUUCGUUUGUUUUUACGUAUAAGGCCUGUAAAUAUCAGUAAUUACACAGUAAAUUCAGUUUUCUGUUGGAUUUCGGGUAUGUCUGCAAGAAGUUGUUUUGUUCAUCUUGGGAUAUUAUAUGCAGCCAAAGAAUUUCAUGCACGCUGAUCCCUUCAGAUGGAACUCCUAAGCAUGUGCUUUGGAGUUAAAACUUCGGUAUUGUUUUCAUGAAACUCUCUGAAAUUUGCUACAGCACCCUGGAUCCUGUAGCAAAAGUUUCAACUUUUAGAAUAUUAAAGAUAAGAAUGACAAAAUAUUAUCUAAA